CUGGCACCUUGACGGUACCUAACCAGAAAGCCACGGCUAACUACGUGCCAGCAGCCGCGGUAAUACGUACGUGGCAAGCGUUAUCCGGAAUUAUUGGGCGUAAAGCGCGCGCAGGUGGUUUCUUAAGUCUGAUGUGAAAGCCCACGGCUCAACCGUGGAGGGUCAUUGGAAACUGGGAGACUUGAAUGCAGAAGAGGAAAGUGGAAUUCCAUGUGUAGCGGUGAAAUGCGUAGAGAUAUGGAGGAACACCAGUGGCGAAGGCGACUUUCUGGUCUGUAACUGACACUGAGGCGCGAAAGCGUGGGGAGCAAACAGGAUUAGAUACCCUGG
rnacentral:rRNA from 1 species